rnacentral:misc_RNA from 1 species
GAUGAAGAACGGAGCGAAAUGCGAUACUUGGUGUGAAUUGCAGAAUCCCGUGAACCAUCGAGUCUUUGAACGCAAGUUGCGCCCGAAGCCACUAGGCCGAGGGCACGCCUGCCUGGGCGUCACACGCCGUUGCCCCCCCAUCUACUCCUUCGGGAUUGCGGGGGGGCGGAUGAUGGCCUCCUGUGCGCCUAGCCGCGCGGUUGGCAUAAAUACCAAGUCCUCGGCGACGCACGCCACGACAAUCGGUGGUUGCGAAACCUCGGUUGCCCGUCGUGUGCGUUCGUCGCGCAUCGAGGGCUCGAAAAAAUGCUCGGCUCCGGCUGGGCUUUCAACGCGACCCCAGGUCAGGCGGGGUUACCCGCUGAAUUUAAGCAUAUCAAUAAGCGGAGGA